UCGGAGGCGGCCGCUCCACCAACACGUCGGACAGGAUUUUCUGCCUGGAAACACCGCAAACUAAUCGGAACCGGCGGCCGAGAGAGACAGACGGGUCUCCUAAGCUGCGUGGGGGUCGAGUAGCGUGGGGUGGGACUCGCUGUGUUUGCUAUGGGAGGAGAGCAGAGCUGUGACAGGAGGCCUCAGCGGCCCGGGGACGUGGGGGGAGGAGGCGAGGCGUCGUCCCAGCAACAGCAGGAGGCUGUGGACGCACACGGCUCAGAGUCUGGGGCCUCUCAAGAAACCCCAGGAGAGCUGCCCCAGUGCCAGAUGGGAAACAGGAGGGUGGACGACAUGAGUUUUAUGAUCGCGUGCACCAACUGGUACUGAAGUGGUACGGGCACAACUGCUCAGUGAAACAGAGAGAGAGGCGAGAGAGCGAGCAGAGCUGAGGAGGAAAGUGGAGCUGGAGUCGCCCGGUGACGUCUGUAUUCCUGAAACCACAAAGCCCAAGAUAGAUGGAGCUCCCAAAAAUGUUGCCAUCAUUUCAAGUCCUACUUUCUGCAUGCUUGCUUCACUGCUGCUCCACCCCCAGGAGGACUUGUUGGAAAAUCCUGCAGUGCUUUUAGAACAGAUGGAGGACAAGGCGGGGUGAGUGACUGAGCGCUGUAGCAGAUGGGUGUCAAAUAUUGUCCUGCACCACAUCUGACAGACUGACGCUGGAACCAUUUCACCAUAAAUCCCCUUUACACCUUGAUAAGUGCAAACAGACACAGAUAAAGCCUGCUCUCUAUUGCAUUUCCUCACCGAUAAAAAAAAAAAUCCAUAUCCAGAAACGUCUCCGCUGAUCUAAUGUGCUACAUGUAGCAUUUUUAAGCUGUUAUUCUUUUUUUUUUUUUUUUUUUUUUUUUUGGUAUUUUAACAGUGUGAUGCCACAGCUAAAGGAGGCAGGAAAGACUGGUGGUUGGUACCCAGGAUGCUGCACUGUCAUGAUGUGCAUGUCAGCCAGCUGAGCCACCAGGAUUUCACCUCCGAUUCUAAACUUGUUCCCCUCACUGUCACUGCUGAGCUGCGGUUUCACAGCAGUGACAGAUUUGAAGCCACUCUUUCUACGGCCUGUCGGUGGCCGGAUACGAGGAGCUGCCGGGUAUUCCGAGGUGUAGAAUUAUGUGUCCAUCCAUUGCUCCUAAAGUCGAAAAUUUUCAUCUUAACACCAAAUUUACUGUUAAAUCUGACAGUAAGCGAGGAAACGAUAUUGUUUCAGCAAGAGGUCAGUGGAGAAAGUACGACAUAAGUAAACAAAAUGAACAUAGCACGAUGUUAAUAUUGAUUGAAAUUGACAAUUAAAGGUCAUGUGUAAGGUUAUGUUUCAAUGACAUAUAUGAAUAAAAAUGUGUAACUCUA